CCUACGGGAGGCAGCAGUGAGGAAUAUUGGUCACUGGACGAGAGUCUGAACCAGCCAAGUAGCGUGAAGGAUGACUGCCCUAUGGGUUGUAAACUUCUUUUAUAUGGGAAUAAAAUGUUCCACGUGUGGGAUUUUGUAUGUACCAUAUGAAUAAGGAUCGGCUAACUCCGUGCCAGCAGCCGCGGUAAUACGGAGGCUCCGAGCGUUAUCCGGAUUUAUUGGGUUUAAAGGGAGCGUAGGUGGAUUGUUAAGUCAGUUGUGAAAGUUUGCGGCUCAACCGUAAAAUUGCAGUUGAAACUGGCAGUCUUGAGUACAGUAGAGGUGGGCGGAAUUCGUGGUGUAGCGGUGAAAUGCUUAGAUAUCACGAAGAACUCCGAUUGCGAAGGCAGUUCACUGGACUGCAACUGACACUGAGGCUCGAAAGUGUGGGUAUCAAACAGGAUUAGAUACCCUAGUAGUC
rnacentral:rRNA from 1 species